rnacentral:rRNA from 1 species
GUGGGGAAUUUUGGACAAUGGGCGCAAGCCUGAUCCAGCCAUGCCGCGUGUGUGAAGAAGGCCUUCGGGUUGUAAAGCACUUUUGUCCGGGAAGAAAUCUUCCAGGUUAAUACCCUGGGAGGCUGACGGUACCGGAAGAAUAAGCACCGGCUAACUUCGUGCCAGCAGCCGCGGUAAUACGAAGGGUGCAAGCGUUACUCGGAAUUACUGGGCGUAAAGCGUGCGUAGGUGGUUCGUUAAGUCUGCCGUGAAAGCCCCGGGCUCAACCUGGGAAGGGCGGUGGAUACUGGCGGGCUAGAGUGCGGUAGAGGGUGGUGGAAUUCCCGGUGUAGCAGUGAAAUGCGUAGAGAUCGGGAGGAACAUCUGUGGCGAAGGCGGCCACCUGGACCAGCACUGACACUGAGGCACGAAAGCGUGGGGAGCAAACAGGAUUAGAUACCCUUGUAGUCC